rnacentral:lncRNA from 1 species
GCUCGAGGCCAGGGGACUUGGAGUCGCUGCUGCACCGCGCGCUCCCAGCCCAGGAGGAAGGCGCUGCCUGGCGGAGCGCUUGGCUCGUACCCGGGGCAGGAGCAGGGGAAGUCUGCGAAAGCCGGGAGCGAGCCGGGGAGGGCCGGGGAGCUGGAGACCCUCGGCGUGCCGCUGCGGACCGCGCGGGUGGCGACCGCGGGUGCCAGGGCGACCCAGGCUGCGGCUCCGCAGUGCAGCCCCCGCGCCCACCUGCCCUGGCGCGCCGGCCCUGUGCCUUGCAGAGAGAGGAGUAGCUUGCUGGCUUUGAACGCGUGGCGUGGCAGAUAUUUCAGAAAGCUUCAAGAACAAGCUGGAGAAGGGAAGAGUUAUUCCUCCAUAUUCACCUGCUUCAACUACUAUUCUUAUUGGGAAUGGACAAUGGAAUGUUCUCUGGUUUUAUCAUGAUCAAAAACCUCCUU